AGUUUUUCAGUUGCUUUUUUAAAGAAGGAAGGCUCAUGGUGCAAAUUGUUAUUUCCAGAGUUGACCACAGUGCAUGGCAGAAGAGCUGAUGGUGGAUAACCAGUUUCCAUCCGGAGUCCAUUGUCCUGCAACCUUCAAGUAAAGUUGAAGAGAAACAAGCCCUCAGCCUGAGCUCUGAGGUUAGCUGACUGGAUUGUCUCCACUGUCGUGCUUGAAUAGUUCACUUCUUAACAGAAGGACCCAGAACAACUGCCUCUGACAAAUAUGCUGCUUCCCAACCACCAUGAGUUGAGCUUCACAUCAGCCAGCAGUUUUACUAGAAACUUGAGCUUUGUGUGCUGUGGCAACUGUUAGCUACACUGGGAAAAACCCUUUUGUCCAUAAGAGAAAGGGGAGUACAAGAGCUUGCCCAUCCGAGGUCUGGAGUGCACUUCAUUCCUUUGCAGGAAGCACCUGUGUACACUGCUCUCGCUCUGUAG
rnacentral:lncRNA from 1 species